rnacentral:rRNA from 1 species
GGAUUAGAUACCCUGGUAGUCCAUGCCGUAAACGUUGGGCACUAGGUGUGGGGACCAUUCCACGGUUUCCGCGCCGCAGCUAACGCAUUAAGUGCCCCGCCUGGGGAGUACGGCCGCAAGGCUAAAACUCAAAGGAAUUGACGGGGGCCCGCACAAGCGGCGGAGCAUGCGGAUUAAUUCGAUGCAACGCGAAGAACCUUACCAAGGCUUGACAUGUUCUCGAUCGCCGUAGAGAUACGGUUUCCCCUUUGGGGCGGGUUCACAGGUGGUGCAUGGUUGUCGUCAGCUCGUGCCG